rnacentral:rRNA from 1 species
GACGAACGCUGGCGGCGUGCCUAAUACAUGCAAGUUGAGCGAUGAAGCUUGGUGCUUGCACCAAUUUGAAGAGCAGCGAACGGGUGAGUAACGCGUGGGGAAUCUGCCUUUGAGCGGGGGGCAACAUUUGGAAACGAAUGCUAAUACCGCAUAAUAACUUUAAACAUAAGUUUUAAGUUUGAAAGAUGCAAUUGCAUCACUCAAAGAUGAUCCCGCGUUGUAUUAGCUAGUUGGUGAGGUAAAGGCUCACCAAGGCGAUGAUACAUAGCCGACCUGAGAGGGUGAUCGGCCACAUUGGGACUGAGACACGGCCCAAACUCCUACGGGAGGCAGCAGUAGGGAAUCUUCGGCAAUGGACGAAAGUCUGACCGAGCAACGCCGCGUGAGUGAAGAAGGUUUUCGGAUCGUAAAACUCUGUUGGUAGAGAAGAACGUUGGUGAGAGUGGAAAGCUCAUCAAGUGACGGUAACUACCCAGAAAGGGACGGCUAACUACGUG